rnacentral:rRNA from 1 species
GCCCCCACCCCCCCGGGGGUUAUCCCCCCCCCCCAGGGGGGUAUAAUAGUGUUGGCGCAGAAAAAAAAGCUCGGAGGGGGAUUUCUUUAUAAUUAUUUAUAAAAAAUUUUGUGAUGAAUUUUUAAUAUAAUAUUAACAUUAUUCAUAUUACUUUUUUUUUUAGUAUAUGAAAUUUUACUUUGAGAAAAUUAGAGUGCUUAAAGCAGGCAUAUGCCUUGAAUACUCCAGCAUGGAAUAAUAUUAAAGAUUUUUAUCUUUUUUAUUGGUUCUAAGAUAAGAAUAAUGAUUAAUAGGGACAGUUGGGGGCAUUUGUAUUUAACAGUCAGAGGUGAAAUUCUUAGAUUUGUUAAAGACAAACUAAUGCGAAAGCAUUUGCCAAGGAUGUUUUCAUUAAUCAAGAACGAAAGUUAGGGGAUCGAAGACGAUCAGAUACCGUCGUAGUCUUAACCAUAAACUAUGCCGACUAGAGACGAGGUG